UCCUUGGUAAGUCAAUGGUAGAGUGGUUAGUUGUUAACUCACUAGUCGUAGGGUCAAUUCCUACUUGGGGAG
rfam:Picea glauca, whole genome shotgun sequence.